GAAGAGUUUGAUCAUGGCUCAGAUUGAACGCUGGCGGCAGGCCUAACACAUGCAAGUCGAACGGUAACAGGAAGCAGCUUGCUGCUUCGCUGACGAGUGGCGGACGGGUGAGUAAUGUCUGGGAAACUGCCUGAUGGAGGGGGAUAACUACUGGAAACGGUGGCUAAUACCGCAUAACGUCGCAAGACCAAAGAGGGGGACCUUCGGGCCUCUUGCCAUCAGAUGUGCCCAGAUGGGAUUAGCUUGUUGGUGAGGUAACGGCUCACCAAGGCGACGAUCCCUAGCUGGUCUGAGAGGAUGACCAGCCACACUGGAACUGAGACACGGUCCAGACUCCUACGGGAGGCAGCAGUGGGGAAUAUUGCACAAUGGGCGCAAGCCUGAUGCAGCCAUGCCGCGUGUAUGAAGAAGGCCUUCGGGUUGUAAAGUACUUUCAGCGGGGAGGAAGGUGUUGUGGUUAAUAACCGCAGCAAUUGACGUUACCCGCAGAAGAAGCACCGGCUAACUCCGUGCCAGCAGCCGCGGUAAUACGGAGGGUGCAAGCGUUAAUCGGAAUUACUGGGCGUAAAGCGCACGCAGGCGGUCUGUCAAGUCGGAUGUGAAAUCCCCGGGCUCAACCUGGGAACUGCAUUCGAAACUGGCAGGCUUGAGUCUUGUAGAGGGGGGUAGAAUUCCAGGUGUAGCGGUGAAAUGCGUAGAGAUCUGGAGGAAUACCGGUGGCGAAGGCGGCCCCCUGGACAAAGACUGACGCUCAGGUGCGAAAGCGUGGGGAGCAAACAGGAUUAGAUACCCUGGUAGUCCACGCCGUAAACGAUGUCUACUUGGAGGUUGUGCCCUUGAGGCGUGGCUUCCGGAGCUAACGCGUUAAGUAGACCGCCUGGGGAGUACGGCCGCAAGGUUAAAACUCAAAUGAAUUGACGGGGGCCCGCACAAGCGGUGGAGCAUGUGGUUUAAUUCGAUGCAACGCGAAGAACCUUACCUGGUCUUGACAUCCACGGAAGUUUUCAGAGAUGAGAAUGUGCCUUCGGGAACCGUGAGACAGGUGCUGCAUGGCUGUCGUCAGCUCGUGUUGUGAAAUGUUGGGUUAAGUCCCGCAACGAGCGCAACCCUUAUCCUUUGUUGCCAGCGGUUAGGCCGGGAACUCAAAGGAGACUGCCAGUGAUAAACUGGAGGAAGGUGGGGAUGACGUCAAGUCAUCAUGGCCCUUACGACCAGGGCUACACACGUGCUACAAUGGCGCAUACAAAGAGAAGCGACCUCGCGAGAGCAAGCGGACCUCAUAAAGUGCGUCGUAGUCCGGAUUGGAGUCUGCAACUCGACUCCAUGAAGUCGGAAUCGCUAGUAAUCGUGGAUCAGAAUGCCACGGUGAAUACGUUCCCGGGCCUUGUACACACCGCCCGUCACACCAUGGGAGUGGGUUGCAAAAGAAGUAGGUAGCUUAACCUUCGGGAGGGCGCUUACCACUUUGUGAUUCAUGACUGGGGUGAAGUCGUAACAAGGUAACCGUAGGGGAACCUGCGGUUGGAUCACCUCCUUACCUUAAAGAAGC
rnacentral:rRNA from 1 species